CAUUAAAAAGCUUAUAGCAAGCUCUGAUCUCUUAAAUCAGUUAAAUUAAUGUAGCGCUUAUUUUUAAUGA
rnacentral:tRNA from 1 species